rnacentral:rRNA from 1 species
AUUGAACGCUGGCGGCAGGCCUAACACAUGCAAGUCGAGCGAGCGGCGGACGGGUGAGUAAUGUCUGGGAAACUGCCCGAUGGAGGGGGAUAACUACUGGAAACGGUAGCUAAUACCGCAUACCAUCGGAUGUGCCCAGAUGGGAUUAGCUAGUAGGUGGGGUAACGGCUCCCCUAGGUGACGAUCCCUAGCUGGUCGGAGAGGAUGACCAGCCACACUGGAAGUGAGACACGGUCCAGACUCCUACGGGAGGCAGAAGUGGGGAAUAUUGCACAAUGGGCGCAAGCCUGAUGCAGCCAUGCCGCGUGUAUGAAGAAGGCCUUCGGGUUGUAAAGUACUUUCAGCGAGGAGGCGUUGCUCGCAGAAGAAGCACCGGCUAACUCCGUGCAAGCAGCCGCGGUAAUAC